UACGGGGGGGGCAAGCGUUGUUCGGAAUUACUGGGCGUAAAGCGCACGCAGGCGGCUUGGUAAGUCAUCGGUGAAAUCCCCCGGCUCAACCGGGGGGGGUCCGGCGAAACUGCCAGGCUUGAGGUCGGGAGGGGGAAGCGGAAUUCCGGGUGUAGUGGUGGAAUGCGUAGAUAUCCGGAGGAACACCAGUGGCGAAGGCGGCUUCCUGGCCCGAAUCUGACGCUGAGGUGCGAAAGCGUGGGGAGCGAUCCGG
rnacentral:rRNA from 1 species